CCCACCCCCACCUCCGCUGCCGUUCCGUUUGGACCCAGACUGGGCCGCCUGCCUCCAUCCUCUGUCCAGCCCAGCCCCGAGGAAACACAAAAGGCAGAAUCUUCGGGGGACAGGGCAGAGAACCCCACGAGUGCGUAGUGGCCCUGAUCGUCCAACACUGGGGAACAAAUAGCCAAGCCACAUAAAAUGUCAUAUGCUGUGAGGAAAAUGUCACUUUAUUGAAAGAGAAGGAAACAUUUUUCUGCAAAGCUUUGUAUACCAGACAGAUUUUGCUGAGUUUUACUUACGCUUAAUUCCACUGAAGGUAUUUAAUUGUUUUGGAUUUUCCCUCUGAAAAUACCCUGGCGUAGAAAUUAAACAUGUAAAAAUAGAGUCCACAUGAGUCAUAAGUUGUGAUGGGGACAGUUGUUAGGCUUAAUUAAUUAAGGGGUUAAUCAGGUUGGUUAAUCAAGGGAAAGAUAUUUGAUAAUUUUAUGUUUGUAAUAUUUUAACUCACACACUGAAAAGGGAAGAAUGCAUAUAGUGAAAUAUAUUUUGAAAAGUCUCACCCUAGUUUUAAAAAUGCUGUGGUGAGUGCUAGUCUCCCCAAAAGUUAGAAAUCUUAAAAUGAGUUUAUCUAAAAUUUAUAAACAUAUUUCUAUCUAAAAGUAACUGAUGUUAUUUCCUUGCUCUUUUGAGCUCUGAUUAAUAGUGCUGAUGAAAUUAGAAGUGGGAAAAGGAUUCCGAGACAGCUUUGGCCAAUUUUAUUUUCUAAUCACGAAUCCCAUCUGGAUUGUAGAAUAGCAUAGGGCGGGGGCUCGGCCUGCCCCAUUCGGUCUUGCAUAUGUAACACUCCUUCCAUUCAACAGAUAACAGAGAGUUAGUCACCUUGUGAAUCCUUUAAAAAUAACAACACCCAUAAUUGUAAAUAAGCCGUGGGGAUGGGAAACCGGCACCUCUACCAACAAAAAAAACAAAACAACUCCUGCGUGAGUGAAUUCAAACAGGGCUCUGAAUUUAGCCAAGGGAAUCUAUUAAACGC
rnacentral:lncRNA from 1 species